rnacentral:rRNA from 1 species
UACGUAGGGUCCGAGCGUUGUCCGGAAUUACUGGGCGUAAAGAGCUCGUAGGUGGUUUGUCGCGUUGUCCGUGAAAACUCACAGCUCAACUGUGGGCGUGCGGGCGAUACGGGCAGACUGGAGUACUGCAGGGGAGACUGGAAUUCCUGGUGUAGCGGUGGAAUGCGCAGAUAUCAGGAGGAACACCGGUGGCGAAGGCGGGUCUCUGGGCAGUAACUGACGCUGAGGAGCGAAAGCGAGGGGAGCGAACAGG